rnacentral:rRNA from 1 species
GACGAACGCUGGCGGCGUGCUUAACACAUGCAAGUCGAACGGAAAGGCCCUGCUUUUGUGGGGUGCUCGAGUGGCGAACGGGUGAGUAACGCAUGAGUAACCUGCCCUUGACUUUGGGAUAACUUCAGGAAACUGGGGCUAAUACCGGAUAGGAGCUCCUGCUGCAUGGUGGGGGUUGGAAAGUUUCGGCGGUUGGGGAUGGACUCGCGGCUUAUCAGCUUGUUGGUGGGGUAGUGGCUUACCAAGGCUUUGACGGGUAGCCGGCCUGAGAGGGUGACCGGCCACAUUGGGACUAAGAUACGGCCCAGACUCCUACGGGAGGCGGCAGUGGGGAAUAUUGCACAAUGGGCGGAAGCCUGAUGCAGCAACGCCGCGUGCGGGAUGACGGCCUUCGGGUUGUAAACCGCUUUCGCCUGUGACGAAGCGUGAGUGACGGUAAUGGGUAAAGAAGCACCGGCUAACUACGUG